rnacentral:rRNA from 1 species
UUAAAUUGAAGAGUUUGAUCAUGGCUCAGAUUGAACGCUGGCGGCAGGCCUAACACAUGCAAGUCGAACGGUAACAGGAAGAAGCUUGCUUCUUUGCUGACGAGUGGCGGACGGGUGAGUAAUGUCUGGGAAACUGCCUGAUGGAGGGGGAUAACUACUGGAAACGGUAGCUAAUACCGCAUAACGUCGCAAGACCAAAGAGGGGGACCUUCGGGCCUCUUGCCAUCGGAUGUGCCCAGAUGGGAUUAGCUUGUUGGUGGGGUAACGGCUCACCAAGGCGACGAUCCCUAGCUGGUCUGAGAGGAUGACCAGCCACACUGGAACUGAGACACGGUCCAGACUCCUACGGGAGGCAGCAGUGGGGAAUAUUGCACAAUGGGCGCAAGCCUGAUGCAGCCAUGCCGCGUGUAUGAAGAAGGCCUUCGGGUUGUAAAGUACUUUCAGCGGGGAGGAAGGGAGUAAAGUUAAUACCUUUACUCAUUGACGUUACCCGCAGAAGAAGCACCGGCUAACUCCGUGCCAGCAGCCGCGGUAAUACGGAGGGUGCAAGCGUUAAUCGGAAUUACUGGGCGUAAAGCGCACGCAGGCGGUUUGUUAAGUCAGAUGUGAAAUCCCCGGGCUCAACCUGGGAACUGCAUCUGAUACUGGCAAGCUUGAGUCUCGUAGAGGGGGGUAGAAUUCCAGGUGUAGCGGUGAAAUGCGUAGAGAUCUGGAGGAAUACCGGUGGCGAAGGCGGCCCCCUGGACGAAGACUGACGCUCAGGUGCGAAAGCGUGGGGAGCAAACAGGAUUAGAUACCCUGGUAGUCCACGCCGUAAACGAUGUCGACUUGGAGGUUGUGCCCUUGAGGCGUGGCUUCCGGAGCUAACGCGUUAAGUCGACCGCCUGGGGAGUACGGCCGCAAGGUUAAAACUCAAAUGAAUUGACGGGGGCCCGCACAAGCGGUGGAGCAUGUGGUUUAAUUCGAUGCAACGCGAAGAACCUUACCUGGUCUUGACAUCCACAGAACUUUCCAGAGAUGGAUUGGUGCCUUCGGGAACUGUGAGACAGGUGCUGCAUGGCUGUCGUCAGCUCGUGUUGUGAAAUGUUGGGUUAAGUCCCGCAACGAGCGCAACCCUUAUCCUUUGUUGCCAGCGGUCCGGCCGGGAACUCAAAGGAGACUGCCAGUGAUAAACUGGAGGAAGGUGGGGAUGACGUCAAGUCAUCAUGGCCCUUACGACCAGGGCUACACACGUGCUACAAUGGCGCAUACAAAGAGAAGCGACCUCGCGAGAGCAAGCGGACCUCAUAAAGUGCGUCGUAGUCCGGAUUGGAGUCUGCAACUCGACUCCAUGAAGUCGGAAUCGCUAGUAAUCGUGGAUCAGAAUGCCACGGUGAAUACGUUCCCGGGCCUUGUACACACCGCCCGUCACACCAUGGGAGUGGGUUGCAAAAGAAGUAGGUAGCUUAACCUUCGGGAGGGCGCUUACCACUUUGUGAUUCAUGACUGGGGUGAAGUCGUAACAAGGUAACCGUAGGGGAACCUGCGGUUGGAUCACCUCCUUACCUUAAAGAAGC